GACGAACGCUGGCGGCGUGCUUAACACAUGCAAGUCGAACGAAGUGGCGAACGGGUGAGUAAUACGUGGGUAACAUGCCCUCAUUUUUGGGAUAAGCCUUGGAAACGGGGUCUAUAACCGAAUAAAGGGGGAUGGGAUCGCGGCCUAUCAGCUUGUUGGUGGCGUGAUGGCAUACCAAGGCGGUGCCGGGUAGCCGGCCUGAGAGGGUGACCGGCGACAUUGGGACGGCGAUGACGCCCAGACUCCUACGGGUGGGAGCAGUGGGGGAUAUUGCAGAAUGUGCGAUGGCCUGAUGCAGCUACGCCGCGUGGGGGAUGAAGGCUUUCGGGUUGUAAACCUCUUUCGCUAUCGGUCGGGUAGGUGGAGAAGAAGCGCCGGCUAACUACGUGCCAGCAGCCGCGGUAAUAC
rnacentral:rRNA from 1 species